rnacentral:tRNA from 1 species
GGGGUUGUGGCUCAGUGGUAGAGCACCCGCCUCGCACGUGUGAGGCACUGGGUGCGAUCCUCAGCACCACA